UACGUAGGGGGCAAGCGUUGUCCGGAUUUAUUGGGCGUAAAGAGCGUGUAGGCGGCCAUGCAGGUCAGCUGUGAAAACUCGAGGCUCAACCUCGAGACGUCGGUUGAAACCGUGUGGCUAGAGUCCGGAAGAGGAGAGUGGAAUUCCCGGUGUAGCGGUGAAAUGCGCAGAUAUCGGGAAGAACACCCGUGGCGAAGGCGGCUCUCUGGGACGGUACUGACGCUGAGACGCGAAAGCGUGGGGAGCGAACAGG
rnacentral:rRNA from 1 species